rnacentral:rRNA from 1 species
UACGUAGGGGGCAAGCGUUGUCCGGAAUCAUUGGGCGUAAAGCGCGUGUAGGCGGUUCGGUAAGUCUGCUGUGAAAGUCCAGGGCCCAACCCUGGGAUGCCGGUGGAUACUGUCGGGCUAGAGUACGGAAGAGGCGAGUGGAAUUCCCGGUGUAGCGGUGAAAUGCGCAGAUAUCGGGAGGAACACCAAUUGCGAAGGCAGCUCGCUGGGACGUCACUGACGCUGAGACGCGAAAGCGUGGGGAGCAAACAGG